UUAGAUUUGUACAGUAUCUGAAUUUAGUUACUUAAGUAUAGCAUGCAAGUUACAAAAUUACUAAAAAUGACACUUAAAUAUUUGCGUACAUUAUAAAAUAUUACUUAGUAUAGCUUCUAGCUGUUUCCACGUAGUUAAGUGAUUGAAGAAGAGUGUAGGGAAGCUUUUUGGCCUCAAUAACUGAUCUGUCUUUGAUUUGAGAUAACAAUGCUUUAGCAUGGCACUGUAGGUUGAAGCCUUAAGGUGGUCCCCAAAUCGUUUACACAAUGGGCCAGCGUGGGUCAUUCUGGGCCCCUUAGGCCAUUUAAGGCCCCUGCCUUAAAUGGUUCCCCGCGAUACAGAGCGGCUACCGCGAAUACCGUAAUUCGCAAAUUGCGGGGAUUUUUCUCUUUUACUCCAUUAAAGGUGUAAUUAGAGUGACAGAGAAAAAUGCCCGCAAUUUGCGAACUUCGAUUUUCGCGGUUAUAGCCCAGGUCUCACCUAGUGCGGGGGCCCCUGGUAAAUAUGUAUACCAUAGUUUAUUGGUAAAUACAUUAUUUUAUUUUACUAAUUUUAUGGCUGCAC